UGGGGAAUUUUGCGCAAUGGGGGAAACCCUGACGCAGCAACGCCGCGUGGGUAAUGAAGGCCUUCGGGUCGUAAAGCCCUGUCGGGAGGGAAGAAAUGAUUGAGAGCUAAUACCUCUUGGUCUUGACGGUACCUCCGAAGGAAGCACCGGCUAACUCCGUGCCAGCAGCCGCGGUAAUACGGAGGGUGCAAGCGUGGUUCGGAAUUAUUGGGCGUAAAGCGCGUGUAGGCGGUCUGUUAAGUCUGAUGUGAAAGCCCCGGGCUCAACCUGGGAAGUGCAUUGGAAACUGGGAGACUUGAGUACGGGAGAGGAGAGUGGAAUUCCUAGUGUAGGGGUGAAAUCCGUAGAUAUUAGGAGGAACACCGGUGGCGAAGGCGGCGCUCUGGACCGAUACUGACGCUGAGACGCGAAAGCGUGGGUAGCAAACA
rnacentral:rRNA from 1 species